UGGGUAUAGGGAUGAGAUGCUAUUGGAAUCUUCAGGUAUGUUUUCAUUUCGGUCUGUUUUUCGAUGAGAUUUGUGUAUGUCGUUCACAUAUUAUAUUAAUGAUAUAUUUUUUAUGUCUUUCAGGUUUCAGUUGCUAUCAUUGAAUUAUCAACAGUUUGUUUUGAUUCCGUUUUUUUCUAGCAUUGAAUGACCAACGGUUUGUUUGGUAAGUCUACAGUUUGGAGUUUAGUUAUUACCAUAUUUCUCUCUCUCUUUUAGCUUGACGUUAUCGGUUCGUUGCCGUUUCCUGUUCUGGACAAGUUGGAUUUCGUUCUUCUUACCUGGUCUUCGGUUUUCGCAAGAAAGAGGGGGAUUGUGGGAGACACAGG